rnacentral:rRNA from 1 species
GGAUGAACGCUGGCGGCGUGCUUAACACAUGCAAGUCGAACGAUGAAGCCCAGCUUGCUGGGUGGAUUAGUGGCGAACGGGUGAGUAACACGUGAGUAACCUGCCCUUAACUCUGGGAUAAGCCUGGGAAACUGGGUCUAAUACCGGAUAGGAGCGUCCACCGCAUGGUGGGUGUUGGAAAGAUUUAUCGGUUUUGGAUGGACUCGCGGCCUAUCAGCUUGUUGGUGAGGUAAUGGCUCACCAAGGCGACGACGGGUAGCCGGCCUGAGAGGGUGACCGGCCACACUGGGACUGAGACACGGCCCAGACUCCUACGGGAGGCAGCAGUGGGGAAUAUUGCACAAUGGGCGCAAGCCUGAUGCAGCGACGCCGCGUGAGGGAUGACGGCCUUCGGGUUGUAAACCUCUUUCAGUAGGGAAGAAGCGAAAGUGACGGUACCUGCAGAARAAGCACCGGCUAACUACGU